AUGUAUAAUAUGCAGAACCUGAUUACAGUUUCUACAACUCUCUGCAGGCACAAUGUCCUUAUUUGGGAGCCUCAAAAUAACAGGCUAACAUUGCUCAAAGCAGCUUUGGGAAGAGGGCAGGUGUCUGAGAGGCUGAGAGGCCAACUGAGCAACUUUUUAGCUGAAACCACGGGCCACACCAGGAACAAACCACUGGACCAAAUUGAUUCAAGACACCUGCUCCGGACCCAGUUUCUUCUCCUCACCCCUAACUCUGCCCAGCACCUCCCACUUCCUCUCUGUUCCCCAUCCCAUCCCAGAUUUGUAUUUAAAUGUCUGCAUAAUGCAUGUGCUCUGCAUGUUUUGAAGUACUUUCUAUCAAGUCCCUCAUUUUAAAAAUGUUUCUUUUAAAUGAAGCUAUGCAUAACCUCUUUUUGAGGCUCUCUUUGGCUUUUUUUGCACAAUUUUAAAUUGACCAGGCCUACUUGCAAAAAUAAAGACAUUUUUUCUGCUCUUUGUUCUAAGUCU
rnacentral:lncRNA from 1 species